AGAAUCAACGCUGGCGGCGUGCCUAACACAUGCAAGUCGCACGAGAAAGGGACUUCGGUCCUGAGUAAAGUGGCGCACGGGUGAGUAACACGUGAAUCAUCUACCUCCGAGUGGGGAAUAACCUAGAGAAAUCUGGGCUAAUACCGCAUAACACUUACGAGUCAAAGCAGCAGUGCGCUUGGAGAGGAGUUCGCGGCAGAUUAGUUAGUUGGCGGGGUAAUGGCCCACCAAGACGAUGAUCUGUA
rnacentral:rRNA from 1 species